GCCUGGGUGGCUCAGUCGGUUGAGCAACUGACUUCGGCUCAGGUCAUGAUCUCACGGUUUGUGAGUUCGAGCCCCGUGCCAGGCU
rfam:Felis catus isolate Cinnamon breed Abyssinian chromosome B4, whole genome shotgun sequence.